AACGAACGCUGGCGGCAUGCCUAACACAUGCAAGUCGAACGAUGCCUCCGGGCAUAGUGGCGCACGGGUGCGUAACGCGUGGGAAUCUGCCCUUGGGUUCGGAAUAACUCGCCGAAAGGCGAGCUAAUACCGGAUGAUGACGUAAGUCCAAAGAUUUAUCGCCCAAGGAUGAGCCCGCGUAGGAUUAGCUAGUUGGUGGGGUAAAGGCCCACCAAGGCGACGAUCCUUAGCUGGUCUGAGAGGAUGAUCAGCCACACUGGGACUGAGACACGGCCCAGACUCCUACGGGAGGCAGCAGUGGGGAAUAUUGGACAAUGGGCGAAAGCCUGAUCCAGCAAUGCCGCGUGAGUGAUGAAGGCCUUAGGGUUGUAAAGCUCUUUUACCCGGGAUGAUAAUGACAGUACCGGGAGAAUAAGCGCCGGCUAACUCCGUG
rnacentral:rRNA from 1 species